UCUAUACGCGACCGCGCGACCCCGGACCCCUUCCUUUUCGAGGGGAGCGCUCCUUCCUUUUCGAGGGGAGCGCCAUCCAUCCGUCCCGCCCCGUCGGCCGCCGCCAGGCCUCGCGCUCGCCAACAGGCCUCCGUCCUCCCCCAACAUCGGCCGCCGCCGGAACUCCGUGCUCCUCCUCGCGACCGCGCGCUGCCAUCCUCUUCGGUCGUGGCUGCUUCUCCCCUUCAUCCCGUCCAAAAAGCUUAAAAAAACAUAAAGUCUAGACGACUCGUUGCGCCAGUGACGGAGGGCACGACCCUAACAGGCCAACGCGACGUGCCCUGGUAGACUCCAGCCUACGAGACUACAAAUCAUUCCUUCCGGCCUGUUUUGCGCCGACCGCCCCAUGCUCCCCUCCCAUUCCCCAACAGCCGCCUCCUGCGGCAGUGGGGAGAGGAGCCCGUGCGGGAGGUGAUUCCCGGUUGCUGAAGAGGAGCGUCGGCAGAGGACCGGCGAGGGGCGGCGGCGGCAGUCCCCGUCGAGUAGUGGAUCGGAGCGCUUGCCCCCGCACCGCUGCGGUUUUCAAUCAAGGCUAAGAAACAUAAACUUGAAACUGUGGGACAUCCUUCUCCUCCGAGAAGGAAUACAAGAGCAGCUUCUAAAUCAGAUUUGGGAGUUUGUGGUGCUGGUGGGCCCUCACAGACACAACAUGUUAGUGAUGCUGCCCCCUCGUCGAAGAGGGUCACUAGAGCAAACUGUAGAAAUAUCAAGGGAAUGCCAGAUCAAGAUGUGGAAAACAAGAGGCGCAAGAAAAGCAUCAUCAUGGGCGAUGAAGUAAAACAGAAAUUAAAAGAGAAAAAGAUGGAUGAACGCCACAAAAUUAAGAAGCAACCAGAUAAGAACUUGAGGAAAAAGGGAUCAGCAAGGAGGCUCAUAUUAACAGCACACUAGAAGAUCCUCAGAAAAAGACUAUCGAAUGUGUCGGUUUUGGGGGCUGCUUCUAGUUCAAUGUUGGUUAGUUCUAGAGAAGUUAUCUUCCUGGCCCAUCAAAAGAUUUGUUGAUCUUUGCUGAAUCUGCGAUCGCAUGGAAUACCCGCACACACAAACUUGGGUUUGAAGUAGGGCACAAGAAUGAGCCGAUGACCACAUAAGAUGUCACUCCUCUUCUUUCCCUCACCCAAUAGCCAAUUUUCAGCUUCAGUGAAUAUUGGUGCUUUUUGGUCAUUUUCAUGGUUGAAAACUUUAUAAAAUUCUUCAUAUGUAUCAGCGAAGCUGUUCUUUGCAUAAUCGAUGUGCUCUCCAACCAUUGGGAGCCCCAAGAUCUUGUGGACAGUAUGGUCAUCAACCUUUAUUCUGACCCUGUAUGGUAUGACCAAUUCGGAUCUUGUGACAUCAAAUUUUUUGAUGAGCCAGGAAGAUAGCUUCUCUGGAACUAACCAACAUUGAACUAGAAGCAGCCCCCAAAACCGACACAUUCGAUAGCCUUUUUCUGAGGAUCUUCUAGUGUGCUGUUAAUAUGAGCCUCCUCGCUGACCCCUUUGUUUCCUAAGUCAUAGAAUAUGAAGAAAAAAAGUAUAGAAAAAAAUUCAGUAUGUGGUGCAAGAAAAAAUAAAAACAUGAGCAAAAACAAAGUAUUCUAAAAUGGGAGGUGUGUGAAUAAAAAAAUGCAAGGAAAAAACAGGUGUGUUGAACCUUAUCAGGUUGCUUCUUAAUUAUGUGGCGUUCAUCCAUCGCCCUCUUUCUCUUUUAAUUUCUGUUUUACUUGAUUGCUCAUGAUGAUGCUUUUCUUGCGCCUCUUGUUUUCCACAUCUUGAUCUGGCAUUCCCUUCAUAUUUCUGCAGCUUGCUCUAGUGACCCUCUUCGACGAGGGGGCAGCAUCACUAGCAUGUUCUAGUUGUGUCUGUGAGGGCCCACCAGCACCACAAACUCCCAAAUCUAAUUUGGAAGCUGCUCUUGUAUUCCUUCUCGGUGUAGAAGGAUGUCCCACAGUUUCAAGUUUAUGUUUCUUAGCCUUACUAGAAAACAGGCACGCAAAAAUAAAUUAGAGUAUAUAAAAUGCAUGUUGACCCUUUAAAUUGUGCUUUGAUAGUUACCUCGACUCUAACGUGACACUAUAUAAUGAGUCUGUAACUUGACGAUACAGGAAUGUCUGACUUGACAUUAAAAUGAUGCUAUUUGCAUGCAAAA